AACGAACGCUGGCGGCAUGCCUAACACAUGCAAGUCGAACGAGACCUUCGGGUCUAGUGGCGCACGGGUUCGUAACGCGUGGGAACCUUCCCUUAGGGUCGGAAUAACUCCCCGAAAGGGGUGCUAAUACCGGAUAAUGUCUUCGGACCAAAGAUUUAUCGCCUUUGGAUGGGCCCGCGUUGGAUUAGCUAGUUGGUAGGGUAAAAGCCUACCAAGGCGACGAUCCAUAGCUGGUCUGAGAGGAUGAUCAGCGACACUGGGACUGAGACACGGCCCAGACUCCUACGGGAGGCAGCAGUGGGGAAUAUUGGAAAAUGGGGGAAAGGAUGAUCCAGUACUGCCGCGUGAGUGAUGAAGGUAUUAGAGUUGUAAAGCUCUUUUACCCGGGAUGAUAAUGACAGUACCGGGAGAAUAAGCUCCGGCUAACUCCGUG
rnacentral:rRNA from 1 species